UGUUCGAAUUGAUGAGGUUAUAAAUCACGGUAUUUCUUCUAUUUUCCGUCUGGCUGUAUAUUACCUGACAGGAAUAUAUGGCCGAGCAGGGGGUCGAGGAGGACGAAGGUCGGAGGUGGUUGGUGGUGUUCGAAAUUGGUAGGAGGCCGUAGGAGGUAGUCGGCGCUGGUAGCAGGUGGUUGGAGGUGGUAGGAGGUGAUCGGAGAUGGCCGAGGAGGACGAGGACGACGAGGCGGCGGAGGAGGAGGGGGAAGAGGUGGUCGGAGGUGGUUGACGAUGGUUGGUAGUGCUCGGUGGUAGUUGGGGGUGGUCGGCGGUGGACGCGGUUACGCGUCUUCUCGCGGGAAUGAUCGAGCUGAUCGAGAUUUCUAAGUCGCAGUCAACAAGUAGUCUUACGUAUUCACUUUGUACCGACUAAAAUAUAAGCUUCCAUACCGACACUACUUUGCCUGUUACGAACGUCGGUUCGAGUCCCUUAGAUAGAAUCGAUAGAGCAAAACCCUCCUACGCUCCCAGGCUCACCCGGGCCCACUUGCCCGCCGAAAACUGGUCACAAAAAUCUACUCAGAGGUAUCCGUCUUUUGGGAAAUCAUCCACUCAGAUACGCUACCUGACGGAUCAAAUAUAAACUACUCUAUGCAGGUCAAGCUUAAACUGCUGAUAUCAAAUAUAAUAUGUGAGAAAUGUAGUUUAAAAGUGUUAAACUUUUUUUUAAAUAUUAAGUAAUCAAUUAUUAUCUAUAAGCUUAGUUAUUACUUAAAAACAUCUUAAAUUUCAAUAUUUGAUCAAAAAAUUUAAUCAUGGAGUUUCCACCACGAGAAAAUAAAAAUAAAACUUUCUGCUGCGUGUAUGGGUGUAAUAGCAAGUCUAGUAAGAACAAUACAGUUCGAUUUUACACUUUUCCUUCGGCAAAUUCUAGUUUUGUAGUAAUCAAAAAUAAAUUUGGUGAAGAUGAAGUAAUUGAUCGUCGAUUAGCUUGGAUAAAAGCAUUGAAAAUUGGGAAUGAGGUUACACAGUCAAAAAAAGUGUUUUCAUUACAUUUCACCAAAAAUGACUUCAUACCAACAUCCAAUGUUGCGAUAUUGCACCCACAACUUCAUGCGGUGGAUCUUUUAAACGAGAAGUUUGGAGACAGAAUGCAAUUAUUUUAUACUCAUUAUCACAACUAGUAUCUGAUUGCUGUAGGCCACAUUUCAUUAGAUGUCCCG
rnacentral:lncRNA from 1 species